GGGCCAAUGGGAGGUGACGAAGGAAAGGGCUGGCAGUGGGAACUCAGUUCAAUUUCAGCCGUUAGAUAUCUGAAGCAUUGAAAUAAAAAGUAUUUAAUUAAAAAAUAAAACAAAUAAUUAACCGGUUUACCCGGUUACAAAGUUCAAGUCAAAAUCCUUGAGUUUCCCUUGUCCCUCUCCAUUGCUGCCUAAAAUGAACCCUUCUUUGAAUCUAUCUGAAAAUUGAAACUGUAACCCCUCUCACUCAAAAUCAAUUCCCCAUUUUUGCUUCUCAGCCAUUAAAGCUCUUUGCUUUCUGAGAUUCUGCAAUCGUAAAGGAACUUGUUCCUCAGCUUGAAUGCAGAAGAAAUAAGAGAGGGCUAUGGCUAUUUGCUCCACCAUCCUCCAAUCACUGACUACAAUAUAGCUAUGUAACUUGAUCUAUGGGGCAAUGUUGUUAUUAAUUGAUGCGCAAUACUUUGCCUUUAGGUAUCAUUUAUAUAGCUCAAGGGUAUGCCAACAUGUUAUACUGUAUUGCCUACUAGAUGAUCCCAUUAUCCUUUUGCUUGAUUGUAUUUCAAGUUGAAUGACGAUCACUUGUUUCUUCUCGGUUAUUUUAAAGGAUUUGAGGCUUCAGAUAUUUGGAUUUA